UACGUAGGGUGCAAGCGUUAAUCGGAAUUACUGAGCGUAAAGCGUGCGCAGGCGGUGAUGUAAGACAGUUGUGAAAUCCCCGGGCUCAACCUGGGAACUGCAUCUGUGACUGCAUCGCUGGAGUACGGUAGAGGGGGAUGGAAUUCCGCGUGUAGCAGUGAAAUGCGUAGAUAUGCGGAGGAACACCGAUGGCGAAGGCAAUCCCCUGGACCUGUACUGACGCUCAUGCACGAAAGCGUGGGGAGCAAACAGG
rnacentral:rRNA from 1 species